CGGCCAUAUCACAUUAAGACACCGGUUCUCGUACGAUCGCUGAAGUUAAGCAAUGUCAAUAGUAGUCAGUACCGAGAUGGGUGACCAAUUGGGAUUAUUAGGGUGCUGUAAG